GGGGCGGUGGCUCACACCUGUCAUCCCAGCACUUGCGGAGGCCGAGGUGAGAGGAAUCUUGAGUUAGAGACCAGCCUGGACAACAUAGCGAGACCUCGUCUCUAUCAAAAAUACAAAAAAAAAAAAAAAAAAAAAAAAAAAGCGGGCGUAGUGGCGCUCGCCUGUAGUCCCAGGGAGGCUGAGGUGAGAGGAUCGCUUGAGCCCAGGAGGUAGAGGCUGCCGUGUGAGCUGUGAUCGCGCCACUGCACUCCAGUCUGGGAGAUGAAGCGAGACCCUGCCUCAAUAAACCAGAAACCAAAAAACAACAAAAAAGGCGAGUUGGGGAGUAAUGACCUUCUCAGGAGGGCCAGAGAGAACAAGAGACCCUUUCGGGGAAGAUGGGGUCCGCGAAGAGAGAGUGACCUCCCAUUUGGGACAGAGUUCAAGUGAGGGGUAACGAGCGACCUCCCUUAGGGGUACUGAUAGGUGCCAGGGAUUUCCGUAGAGGACCCCGGGGCUGUGCGGAGUAGCCAUCGCUCACGAGUGCGGGCUCCUAAACUUGGGCAGCUGUGGUUGGGGGAGCUGGGGCCGCGCUGUCCUUAGCCUCUUGGGGAACAGCCUAAAUAUCAGGUGUCCUGUGAGCCCUGGGUGAGAGCCACACGCCCUGUAAAAUACCCCUCCUGGAUUUGAAGCCUGGUCGCAUUCUCACUCCAAAUACUUCCUUAGUUGCAGCCCAGGGGAGAUAAUUCUGUGGUCAUCCUUUCCACUGAGAAAAUGCUAUCACAACUUUAGGAGAGAAAAUAGUGAAAGGGGGGGAAACAGCCACCGUUCUACCCCAUGAAUACAAUUUUCCGCAUGUGUAUUUGUUCAUUCCCUUCAGAUACGUUUUUUCUUUUUCUUUUUCUUUUUUUUUUUGAGACGGAGUUUCACUCUUGUCCAGUCUGGAGUGCAGUGGCGCGAUCUCGGCUCACUGUAACCUCCGCCUCCCAGGUUCAAGCAAUUCUCCUGCCUCAGCCUCUUGAGUAGCUGGGAUUACAAGUGCCCGCCACCACGCCCAGCUAAUUUUUGUAUUUUUAUUAGAGACAGGUUUUCACCAUGUUGGCCAGGCUGAUCUCCAGCUCCUGACCUCCCAUGAUCCACCCGCCUCGGGCUCCCAAAGUGUUGGGAUUACAGGCGUGAGCCACUGCGCCUGGCCCAGAUGUGUUUUCACAGGUGAAUGUUAUAUUUAGUUUCCCAGAAAAUAUUCAUAAGCACAUCCUUUAUGCCAAGUACUGUCCAGUGAACAGGACAAGCAAAAUAUCCUGCCUUCAUGCAGCAUAAAUUCCAACAGGUGACUGGAACUGAUUUGACAUAACCAUCGUAUGCAUGGAGAAGCUGAGAACAGUAAUCUGCAGAAGCAAAAGUAUGAAACAGCCGGGCAAAGAUGCACAGAGGGGUCAAAGCAUCGUAGAACCACAGAUGUGAAAGAACUGCGGAGAGGACGUUCUCCAGGAGGGACAUCAUUAACUCAACCCGGGCGAGAGACUAGGCUUUGACCAGGCUUUCCAACCCACGCAGCUUCAGCUUCCAUCAAGCCCAUCCUAACCACAACGAACACAAGGCAAGGCAAACAAGCAAAACAUAAUAAAGAUCAGAGAGAACACAGAAAGACUGUGGAUUCUGCUGGCUCUUUUGUUUCUUUAUAAGAAAAGGUGCCCAUGAGGGGAGCGGAACAGGUGUAUGCUCUCACUUAGUAUAAAUGGACUAGAACAUGGCCUCUCAAAGGGGCACAAGUCCCUCAAGGGGUACACAGCCUGCCCAGGAUGUGCAAAGCCAUGAAAUCAGCAUGGCACAUCUUCCUGGAGUGCCAGGAUGAUUAAUCAGUUUCCAAG
rnacentral:lncRNA from 10 species